UUAAUGUGUGAAUUUACUUAGCAUUACAUGAUGAUUUAUAAUGCUUAUUAUAUCGAUUGAGGAACUCACCCUUACAACUAUUUUUCAGGUAACGAGCAGUGAUUGAGUAGAAGCUAGUGCUUGGAGUCUAGUGUAGUCUCCUUAGUGGGUCAUGCUCUGAUAGAUGUAACAUCGGGACGGGAUGUUUUAAUUGUUUUAUUGUUGGUUGUUGGACCAUUUUACAUGUAAUAUGUUAUAUAUUUUGAAUGGUUGAUUUGAUUUCUAUCCGCUGCGAAUUAUGCAAAAAUGUUAUUUUGAUUAAAUAAAGAGCAUGACAGUUAUUAUGGUGUGAA
rnacentral:lncRNA from 1 species